CAGCAGCCACGGGAAUACGGAGGGGGCUAGCGUUGUUCGGAAUUACUGGGCGUAAAGCGCACGUAGGCGGCUUGGUAAGUUAGAGGUGAAAGCCUGGAGCUCAACUCCAGAAUUGCCUUUAAGACUGCCGAGCUAGCAGGUGAGAGAGGUAAGUGGAAUUCCGAGUGUAGAGGUGAAAUUCGUAGAUAUUCGGAAGAACACCAGUGGCGAAGGCGGCUUACUGGCUCAUACUGGACGCUGAGGUGCGAAAGCGUGGGAAGCAAACAGGAUUAGAUACCCGCGUAGUCCCUGUCUCUAUACA
rnacentral:rRNA from 1 species